ACCUGCACACACACACACAUGCACGCAUGCACACACACACACACAGAAGGUGAACACACAGGAUGAGGCCCUGAAAACUCAUUUCACCCGUGUACCUCACCCAAAAAUUCCCCUUUGUACUCCUAUCUUUAUCUCUAACUGACAGCAUGAAGGUAGCCCGAAGUCCCCUCACCCUGUCUGUCCUCCUGAUUCUCUAGCCCAGUUCCCUCUAGCUCCAGCACAGACUCUUAUCUCCAGCCCUGACUGCCGAAACCCUCCAGCCCCAGCUCCAGCCCCUCAGGAGGGGACUGCGUGGGAGGAAUGACUCCAGCAAGCCGGCAGCUGACCCGUCUCCUGCCUGCACGCCUCCCGCUGUGGUCCACUGCCGGUGGUCUUCAGCUCUCUCCUCGUCCCACCCCCAUGGUCUGCUGACAGCCCAGCUCAGUGCAUCCCUGCCAUCUCUGCUCUACCGCUGGUCCUCCCAACAACCAACUUACAGGUUUGGGGGCACACGUGAAGGUUUGACAUAUAGUAAACACAUGUCAUGGUGGUUUGUUGUACAGAUUAUUACAUCACCCAGGGUUUCACUCCCGUCACCCAGACUGGAGUACAAUGGUGCGAUCUCAGCUCACUGCAACCUCUG
rnacentral:lncRNA from 1 species